GUCUGUAGGCACAAGUCUUUCAGUUGUGCACAUUGACAAAAAAGUUCAUAAGAGGAUGAGAGCUAAAACCCAAAAAAUCAGCCCCUGCCUCAUCCCUCAAAUCCACCCUCCCCAACCAGAUGAGAGUAAUGCCACAUGUUGUUGAAAUCCUGUGGCCCUCCAGGGAACAGGCUUCCCAUCUGUGCAAAAGACAGCUCCAUCUGUUUACUGCUGAAAAGAAGAGAAGGAAAGGGCAGACUGGAUGGAAUACAAAACUGGGAGAGAAAGAGAGAAUAUCUGAGGAUCCAGGCACUGGAAGCACUUCAAAGCAUUCAAAGAAUAUCAUUACUCUCAUCCAGAGGAGCUGAGGUCUGAAGUUCUUCAAGUCUUAUUUGUUGCCUUAAAAGAAAAGAAUAAGUGAUUGUUGUCUUCAUGCUUGCUCUCUGCCAUGAGAGAGAAGUUGUCAAUUAAAAAAAACAGACAAAAACCCAACAACAUGUAUCAAUGUGCAAUAAUCCACAUGCAGUAAUCUGCAUGCAUUGAUCAUCCCUCCCUUGAACUUAGGAAACAUACUAAUUUGCUUGAAUUGCGUUUGAAUUCAAAAUUCUUAUAACAAAGUGGCUUGAUAUAGUUAUAUCCAGAAUUCCUGUAGGAGAAGAGCUUCAUGCAGUUUUUUCUUUUACUACACCUAUGUUAGUACAAUCAAUAUAAUAAAUUUAAUACUUUUAAAAGCCUAGUAUGAAUGCAGGGGGAUACCCUUCUCUGGACAGGGGAUGAGUAUUAAGGUUUUACUUUUUUUUUCACCAGAAAAUGAAGUUGCAGAAUGACCCUGUUGUCUGUCUCAGAAGCAACAGCAGAUUUCCCACCAGCUGGGGAAGGACCAGUAGCAGGAGGAUACUCACACAAGAGCAGCAGGAUAUGGAGUCCCAUUCACAAGUCUCUUUCCCACUGUGUAUCAGCUACACUCCCACAGCUCUUUAAAGGUGUCCUGUCCUCCGGACUUCUGAUGACCACUUGCUUUUCAAUUCAUCUGCAGCAGUGGAGGGAUAUGUUUGGGUUCAUAUUGCUGAAGUUGUGUUUUGAAAGCCAUCUACCUCUGAUAGACUGCUGCACUCAUGCCAAAGGACAAAUGACGUGUCUUCAUUUUCAUGAGAGUUAACCUCCAGUUCAUGCUCAGGUUCUGAUGCUCUGAGCACUCACAAAGCAUAGGUACAGGCUCAGUCUGUGCUUUAUAGUAAAUCAAACAGGUACCUUCAAGCUGAGAUAUUCCUGUUGUACUGGUUUUGGCUGGGAUAAGGUUAAAUUUCUUCAUACUGGCUUGUAUGGAUUUAUUUUGGAUUUGGGCUGAAAGUAUUGUUGAUAAUACACUGAUGUUUUAGUUAUUGCUGAGCAGUGCUUACACAGAGUCAAGGACUUUUCUGCCCCUCAGACUGCCCCGCCAGUGAGUAGAUUGGAGGUGCACAAAAAGUUGGGAGGGGACACAGCUGGGACAGCUGACCCCAACUGACGAAAGGGAUAUUCCAUACCAUAUGAUGUCAUGCUCAUCAAUAAAACUGGGAGGGGGAAGUUGUCAGGGGGCCUGCUGCUUGAGGAGUUGUUGAGCAUUGGUUGAUUGGUGGCGAGCCAUUGUUUUCCUUUGCAUCACUUGUCUUCCUUGGGUUUUAUUUUCCCCUCUCUGUUAUUUUUCUCUCUCUUUUCCUUAAAAUUUAAAUUUUAAUUACUAUUUAUUUUGAAUUAUUAAACUGUUCUUACCUCAAACCACGAGAUUCUUUCUCACUUUUACCCUUCCAGUUCUUCCCUCAUCCCAUGAGGGGACAGGGAGUGAGCAGCUGUGUGGUGCUUAAUUGCCACGUGGGGUUAAACCAUGACACCUGUGAUUCUCAGAGCAGUUAGUUCCAGAGAUGCCUCCAGGUAGAUGGUGUGAAUGGGAUGGCUUAGGUUUGUGUGUCUCUGUUUUUCACAGUCCUUCAUGGUAGUCUGAGUGUGUCUUGAGGCCCCAGUCAUCUCCCAUAUGUCUCCUGACACGUCCCAAGACAGACAGUACAAAUUCUCAGUGCUCACCUUCAAAAGCAGUAUCCUGGUAAGCUGCAACACAAGCAUGUCUGCUCUGACCUUUCUGAUAUUUUGAGCAGAAAAAUAUAUGGGCACAAAGAACAAUAAUUCCAUAAAGGCACCACCAUGCAGAGCCUCAGUAUGCUCCAGCCCAUGUGGUCAGUAGUAUGAUUGUGCAGGCCCAUUCAAGAGGUCACAAGCCUUGCAGUGUAUCUUCUGGCUUGGGAUGUUUAAUUUUAUUGCCAGUGAUAUUAAAGGAUGUCACUUCCUCAUGCAACACACUUGGGGUUUGCUCUUGCUCCCUUAUCUCACAGUUCUGUCUGUCUGUUUGGCUCCAACACCUUUGUAAUGUUACUUUCACACUAGUAUUUGAGAUUUUUGAGAUAAACUAGAAGAGGGUAGAUUUAGAUUAGAUAUAAGGAAGAAAUUCUUCACUAUGAGGGUGGUGAAGCACUGGAACAGGUUGCCCAGAAAAGUUGUGGAUGCCCCUGGAAGUGUUCAAGGCCAGGUUGGAUGGGCCUUUGAUCAACCUGGUCUAGUGGAAGAUGUCCCUGCCUGUGGCAGGGGGUUGGAACUAGGUGAUCUUUGAGGUCCCUUCCAACUCAAACCAUUCUAUGAUUCUAUGAUUUUUCCAAACGGCCAGAGAAGAGGAACUUGGGGUUGUGAUUUUGGGUGUUUCCCAAGAAUUCCAGUAUGCAAAGCUGUGUCAGAGAGGAAAUAAGAGAAUUACCUUGUCUCAUGUUCAGAAAAGCUCCUCACGGGCACAAAGAAGACACAGUCUCUUACUUGACAGUUGUUUGAGAUACCAGCCAAGAGAGGAAUUACUAAGAACAUCAGCUCUUUCCUGGAAACAUCAGAAUACUGAAGAGGGGUGUGGGUUUGCUCAAGUUUUUAUUAUCAUUUAGUGCUGCCGUUUGGUGUUACCUGAAAUGCCUCAUCAGUUUGGAUCUGUGCUCCUCUGAUAACACUAUCUCAUACACCACAGUAAGCAAAGUGGUUUGCAGCUUUCUGCUUUAUCUCUUGGUGGGACUGGGAAGGAAAUUGGACGGUUAAAAAGCUUUCAAGAAGCAGAUCAAACCAGAUUAGAUGUCAUGAUGGCAGGCCCUAGAAGAAUGAAAACAUGAAAGGUGAAAGCUAGCAAACAGGAGAAACAGACAUUUUCUAAGUCUGGAAAAAUCACAGGGCAAGUCUCUGCAUGUUAGGGUAUACGCAGGAGAGGAAGGGGACUGGAAUAGUCAGCAUGCAUUUACCAAGUGUUAAACAGACCUGAGCAAAGUGAUUGCCUUCUUUCAUUAUGGCAUUAUGGAUGGAGGGGAAGCAGUGAGGGUCAUUUACCUUGACUUUAUGAAGGCUUUUGCAUUGUCUCCCAGCACAUUCUUCUAUCUAGGUUAGGAUGUUAUGAUUUGAGUGAGUGGACAACUGGAUGCUGGAUGGCCAAAACCAGGCUGGAUGAUCAGGCUCAGAGACUGGUGGCAGUGCUUAACAGGCUAUACUCUACCUGGAGACAAGUGGACAAGUAGCAAGUGGAGUACCAUAGAGAUCUAUACUGAGGAGAGGUUGAGGGAACUGGACUUGUUCAGACAGGACAAGAGGAAGGCUCAGGAGGAACUAGCAGAAGCUUUCCAAUAUCUACAAGCAGGAAGAUGGAACCAGGCUCUUCACAGCAGCAAAUGGUGGGAACAUGAGAGAUAAAGAUAAUGGGUAAAUAUUAAAAUUGAAAUAAUUAAAUGAAAGACAUUCAGGCUAUGCGUAAGAAAGCUUUCUCACCACGAGAACAGUGAAGCAUCAGAAUCUGUUGCCCAGAGAGGCUGUCCAGUUGCCAUCCUCAGUGUCAGCACCUUAAGUACAUUCCCCAUCUUGGAGGUUUGACUAGCUAGGCUCAUGGCCAAAUUAGUGCCAGUGCAACUGAGGGCUGUGUCACUUCCCUCUAUUAACACUGGAACCAGUGUUCCCAGGGAGGACUUCAGAGCAACCUCAGCCACGUCUGUUCCGCUCAUGGGAACUACUUUGAAGAGGAGGCUCUGACUCUGGUCCCCAUCUGAGUUCCAGCUUCAACUGUGUCCCAGCCAUGCCUGUGCCUGGCCAUGUAAUCUGCUGAUCUGGACCUGGGUGCAUGGACUGAGUUCCUAGUUUGACCUCAGACUUUCCUCAUCACUGUGGAUUGUCUGAUCAUCUAGAACAGUAGUGCUUGAGACGGUGGAUCUCUGUAGGUCUUGUGCCUGAACUACUCUGACAGGUUAUUUCUGAUAUCCCAAGGCACCUCUGAUGGCAGUCAGCCCCUCUGAUAAGAACCAGGACCUCUGUCUGGCCCUGCUCAAUUCUCACUGUUCCUAUCGGGACCAGGGGAAAAAAGGUAAAAGAAAAAAAUACCAAAGGAAAACAACUCAACCCAUAACUAGAAUCCAAGGACAAGUCUUGCCAAGGGUCUGCAAUGAGAUAUGCAUUCUACUGGAGAUACCCCGCUCCUCUCACUGCUGCCUAGGUAACAGGCAGUCUGGGUACUCUGAACAAGGCCACAUUUUACCACCUUUUGGAAGAGAUGGUGACAAAAACAUGCCACUAUGUUUUGAUGAAAUGAUUGUGACAUUAACCACAGUCUGGGAUUUUUAAGAACAAAAGCAGCAAGUGACACAAGCUGAUAGCAGGUUGAAAUUUCUUGUUUCAGCUCCAAACUUUAUAUGUGUAGAUUGUCAUUCCGUAACUGUCUCCUGCCUAGCCAUAACAACUGUUUUGUCUCUUCAGGACAGUGGUAGAAGAUGCUCCUUCUCCUUCUGUUUGCAAGUGCUUUCUCCUUGUUCCACAGACUGGGGCUGAUCUGUUCCUCUGCAUGGUUGCGUGGCUGGAUGGCAGCAGGAGUGCCUGAAAGGUCGCUAGAAGGGACCUCUCUCAAGCCUGUGAGGGCCAGUCAAGGGACUUCUGGCAUCUGAGGUGGUCAUCCACACCAUGUCUUAUUCAUCCACAGGUCUUACAUGGUCUGCAGAAUGCAAAAACAGCACUGAGGAGACACCAGGAGAGAUGGAGACAAAAGCUGGCAUCAGGCAGUAUAACCUACAAAAUCGCAGACAGUUAUUAUUAGCUUUUUCUACCCAAAGGACAAGGCAAAGCAGGAAAAGAUGCAUUUUGCAGUUUAAGGUUUUGUCCCAUAGGAGCUGGAAUAACUUGAAUGAUAGAGACAGCCAUCACAACUUCAUCACAACAUAGGUCUCAGCUGUGGAACGAUUAAACCCCAGAAUUAAAGCAAGCUUUUACUAGACUAAAUAAAAACCUGUUAAACCUGAUUUCCACAGCUGCAUUUUGCCUUCUCAGGCUACAGCAAGACAGUGAAGAUUAGCCGAAGUCCUUCAUAAAGGAAGCCCACCUAAAAUAACCUUUGCUUCAUUAUCAUGCCUAAUCUCACAGAGCUGAAUUAUAUCUUUGUCACAACUGAAGUCACAACCCUGAAGGACUCUGCUACAUGUAUUCAAAGUGGUGAGCGCCUUUAUCUACCUUAGAGGAACCCCAGGCAACAGGAAUCAGUUUCACUGUCUAUAUUAAUCUUUGCAGUACAGAGGCUGCUAAAUCUUUGCAUACAAUCUCUCAAUAUUUACCCAGAGCUGUAUGAAGGGGCAUGACCUUGCCUUUAAAUGGGAGCUGGCCACUGCUACUACAGAAGAUAAAGAAGUGGAAAAUAAGAGCUUUUUUUUCUCCCCUGUAGUGUCAGAAGUCAGUCACCUUCCAAACAGCUGGGUGGUUUUGCUGAAGACUCACUACCCAUAUUCACAACCACUGUGCUGGUGCAUCAGGUAAUCAGCUACUUAACAGAGCAAGUGGGAGCAGGUUCUAGGUAGUAACUGAAUUCAGCUGUGACAUUUCAUUUCAUACCGAAAUAGAUUUUAGAUUUUUUUUUUUUUUUCCUAAGAAAAUGCUCACAUGCUCCCCUCAAUUCUUGCCAGUUUAAUUACACCUUCAAUAAUUCAUUCGGUAGUUGCUCAAUCUGCCUACUUGAAUUAUUAAGUAGAAGAGUGGAAAAAUCUGCAACUAAGCAUGUGAGAUGGAGCACCCUAGGAAUGCAGCUAGGGCUGGGCACACACAACAUCUGAGAGCGAGUCCUGGAGCAAUUCUCCAUCUGAGCCUAAUCUCAUGUCUCUGAACACACAGAAUUUCCUUGCUUCCCUCCCUCUCUGCCUUUGUGUUUUUCCUUCUUAUUAACGCAUCCCGUCACCUUUCUGGAACAAAACUUUUGGGUGUAGUUGUGGCUUCCCCAGCAAACUGUCUGUCUUUUUAUAUGCUGAAUGGAAAUGUCAGGUCCCAAACACACUUCCAGGAAAGACCUCACAAAAACAAGGAAAGGUUUAUUUUCAGGAGCUAGGGAAAAGCAUAAGGUAUCUCAGACUUCAGUGGGGGUAAAGAUAAGGGUUUCAUACAAUAGCUGAAGAUUAAAAAGAUAAAUCCUUAGAAGAAAAUAUGGGAAGAAGGAACAUCUCACAGAUGUGUCAGAGAUGUGGGAAUAGUGAAACAAAGCUGAUAGCUUCACUGACACAAAGGAAUGUGGAAAGCAAGAGGGAGAAUGGAUUUGGGAUUAUACAUAGAAUGGCAGAGAGAAAGUAAAAUGACAUGAUAUAAUUAACUACCUUUAUUGAAGCUUUCUUUCAGCUGCUAAAUUUGCAUAUAUGCUUCCCAUAUUGAUCCAUGUUUCUGGUUAUUAACUUGUGACAUAGUCAUCCACUUGAAAAGAAUUUCUGAACAAUGCAAUCAGGUUAUUAAUUUCUCUGUUAGAGAACUUGUUUAACCAAUAAGAGUUCUUAAUAUUUUAAG